CGUGACUGUCAAAUCUCUUUGUUCUCUCUCCUCUCUCUCUCUCUAUCGCAGAGUUUCCGAGAAAAUAAAAUCAGAGAGAGAGAGAGAGAGAAAAAAAAAGCAGAAACUUUUGUCGACGAGAUUCAGUUUGGUCCGUACGAUCGGCGAUCUUCUGUCUCUCCUUCCUCUGGAAAUCUCAGCGUCUCCCUGUCUCUCUCUCACACGCACACACAGAGUAUAAAUGUUCUGAGAUAUUAUUUUUCCAGUGUUUCUCAUCACGGAGAUACGUAUAAAUACAUGGAGAGUGGCGGCAUGUUCAAUGAUGGAUCAGCUCAUCAUAUUGAUGGCAAGAUUCUUCAGACAUUCCAGAAGAGCUUUGUCCAAGUUCAGGACAUUUUGGAUCAGAACAGGCUACUGAUAAACGAGAUUAACCAGAAUCACGAAUCCAAUAUCCCCGACAACUUAGGAAGGAAUGUCGGUCUGAUCCGAGAACUCAACAACAACAUGAGGAGAGUUGCCGAUCUUUACACCCAUCUCUCGAGCAACUUCGCCGACGCUUCAUCUGAGGGAGAUUCUAGCGCAGGCUGCAGAUCAGGACACAAGAGAAUCAGGCCCGUUUGAUUUCAGGGUCUAUUCUGCUCAUUUAUUUUUUACUGUGGGUAAAUGUAGAAGAAAUAGAAAAAUGAGGGGGAAAAGUAGAAUAGUAGAAGUGUCUUUGUUGAAUUCGUCGUGAACUGUUUAGGUUCAUGCCCAUUAUCUCAAAUCUCAAUUAAAUAAAUGUUUCACGAAGUUUUAUCUUUAAUAAAAUGUUUUUUUUUUUGCAGAA